rnacentral:rRNA from 1 species
GCACGGGUGCUUGCACCUGGUGGCGAGUGGCGAACGGGUGAGUAAUGCGUCGGAACGUACCGAGUAGUGGGGGAUAACGCAGCGAAAGUUGUGCUAAUACCGCAUAUUCUGUGAGCAGGAAAGCGGGGGAUCUUCGGACCUCGCGCUAUUCGAGCGGCCGACGUCUGAUUAGCUAGUUGGUGGGGUAAUGGCUCACCAAGGCGACGAUCAGUAGCGGGUCUGAGAGGAUGAUCCGCCACACUGGGACUGAGACACGGCCCAGACUCCUACGGGAGGCAGCAGUGGGGAAUUUUGGACAAUGGGCGAAAGCCUGAUCCAGCCAUGCCGCGUGUCUGAAGAAGGCCUUCGGGUUGUAAAGGACUUUUGUCAGGGAGGAAAUCCCCAGGGCUAAUACCCUUGGGGGAUGACAGUACCUGAAGAAUAAGCACCGGCUAACUACGUGCCAGCAGCCGCGGUAAUACGUAGGGUGCAAGCGUUAAUCGGAAUUACUGGGCGUAAAGCGUGCGCAGGCGGUUGGUUAAGCAAGAUGUGAAAGCCCCGGGCUCAACCUGGGAACUGCGUUUUGAACUGGCCAGCUAGAGUACGUCAGAGGGGGGUGGAAUUCCGCGUGUAGCAGUGAAAUGCGUAGAGAUGCGGAGGA